GGGUUGUGAGGUUAAGCGACUAAGCGUACACGGUGGAUGCCCUGGCAGUCAGAGGCGAUGAAGGACGUGCUAAUCUGCGAAAAGCGUCGGUAAGGUGAUAUGAACCGUUACAGCCGGCGAUGUCCGAAUGGGGAAACCCAGUGCAAUUCGUUGCACUAUCGUUAACUGAAUACAUAGGUUAACGAGGCGAACCGGGGGAACUGAAACAUCUAAGUACCCCGAGGAAAAGAAAUCAACCGAGAUUCCCCCAGUAGCGGCGAGCGAACGGGGAGCAGCCCGGAGUCUGAAUCAGCUUGUGUGUUAGUGGAAGCGUCUGGAAAGUCGCAGGGUACAGGGUGAUACUCCCGUACACUAAAAC
rnacentral:rRNA from 2 species